CGCCUAACACAUGCAAGUCGAACGAAGUAGCAAUACUUAGUGGCAGACGGGUGAGUAACAUGUAGGUAUCUACCCUUUGGCCUGGAAUAACACGAGGAAACUUGUGCUAAUACCGGAUAAGUCUUUACGGAGAAAGCUUUAUGCACCAUUGGAUGAGCCUGCACUUGAUUAGUUUGUUGGUGGGGUAAUGGCCUACCAAGACUGUGAUCAAUAGCUGAUUUGAGAGGAUGAUCAGCCACAUUGGGACUGAGACACGGCCCAAACUCCUACGGGAGGCAGCAGUGGGGAAUCUUGCACAAUGGAGGAAACUCUGAUGCAGCGAUGCCGCGUGAGUGAAGAAGGCCUUUGGGUUGUAAAGCUCUUUCGUCGGGGAAGAAAAUGACUGUACCCGAAUAAGAAGGUCCGGCUAA
rnacentral:rRNA from 1 species